UGAUUCUGGCUCAGAACAAACGUUAGCGAGAUGUCUUAAGCAUGCAAGUCGAGCGGCAGMACUUCGGGUGGCGAGCGGCGAACGGGUGAGUAAUAGUUAGUUUACUUACCUUUCAGACUGGGAUAGCUGCUGGAAACAGUGGGUAAUACCGGAUAUAGAGAGCAAUCUUGAAAGGUGCGUUGGCACCACUGAAAGAUAGGACUAACUCCUAUUAGCUUGUUGGUAGGGUAAUGGCCUACCAAGGCGAUGAUAGGUAGCCGGCCUGAGAGGGUGAUCGGCCACAUUGGGACUGAGAUACGGCCCAGACUCCUACGGGAGGCAGCAGCUAAGAAUAUUCCACAAUGGGCGAAAGCCUGAUGGAGCAAUCUCGCCUGGAUGAUGAAGGCUUUCGGGUUGUAAAAUCCUUUCAGCAGGGAAGAAUAAGUUAGUCAGGAAAUGGACUAACGAUGACGGUACUUGCAGAAGAAGCCCCGGCUAACUACGUGCCAGCAGCCGCGGUAAUACGUAGGGGGUGAACGUUGUUCGGAAUCACUGGGCGUAAAGAGUACGUAGGCGGCUUAGUAAGUCAUAAGUGAAAUCUCCGGGCUCAACCCUGAGACUACUUGCGAAACUACUAAGCUAGAGUUAAUGAUAGAGGUAGCAGGAAUUCCUGGUGGAAGGGUGAAAUCUGUAGAUAUCAGGAAGAACACCAAGGGCGAAGGCAAGCUACUGGGUAUUAACUGACGCUGAGGUACGAAAGCUAGGGGAGCGAAUGGGAUUAGAGACCCCAGUAGUCCUAGCCGUAAACGUUGUACACUAGUUUUACGGGUGGUAUUUAUAUCUUCUGUGAAACGUAGCUAACGCGUUAAGUGUACCGCCUGGGUAGUAUGCGCGCAAGCGUGAAACUCAAAGGAAUUGACGGGGGCUCGCACAAGUGGUGGAGCAUGUGGUUUAAUUCGAUGAUACGCGAAAAACCUUACCUGGGCUUAAAUGUGUAGUGACCGGUGAUGAAAGUCACUUUUUCUUCGGAACAUUAUGCAAGGUGCUGCAUGGCUGUCGUCAGCUCGUGUUGUGAGAUGUUGGGUUAAGUCCCGCAACGAGCGCAACCCAUACCCUAUGUUGCUAACUACUCUUCGGAGUAGAGGACUCUUAGGAAACUGUCCGGGUCAACCGGGAGGAAGGUGUGGAUGACGUCAAGUCCUCAUGGCCCUUAUGUCCAGGGCUACACACGUGCUACAAUGGGCUGUACAAAGAGAUGCAAGACCGCGAGGUGGAGCAAAUCUAUGAAAGCAGUUCUUAGUUCGGAUUGGAGUCUGCAACUCGACUCCAUGAAGCUGGAAUCACUAGUAAUCGCGGAUCAGCAUGCCGCGGUGAAUAUGUUCUCGAGCCUUGUACACACCGCCCGUCACACCACUCGAGUGGAUCUUACCCGAAGU
rnacentral:rRNA from 1 species